AUGCUUACACCAACCCCAGGACCCACAGAAGGCAUUCUGUCCCCACCAAUCCAGGGCUGGCAUAGGAUUUUAAGAGACAGAGCAUUUUCAAGGUAAAAGAGCAUUUCUAUCUUGACUGAAACUUCAAAAUCAUCCAGCUAAGCUGCUUCCAAAUUCCCAGCUGGGAGACGAUAAAUGUUUCAAGCUGCUAAGUUUCAGGGUAAUUUGUUACACAGCAAUAGGUAACAAAUGCAUUCCCUCUAUCCCCCUGCUUUUCCAACUUUAAUCCAUUCCUCCUUCCUUCAUACUCACCAUACACCACAUAAUGGGGGAACAGGGAUGUAACAACACAGGAUUCUGGGGAACUGA
rnacentral:lncRNA from 1 species